GUGAACCUGCGGAAGGAUCAUUCAU
rnacentral:rRNA from 1 species